CAGUCUUAAGCAUAGUAUUUUUGUAUAUUUCUCAAAAAUGAGUAGAAAAUAUGAGAAAAUAUGUAUAUAUAUAUGUUUAAGAGAAAACAACACUACUGCGACAGGAAAGGUACACAAAUAACUACUUAUACUGUUAUAGACAUAUAUUUCAGCUCCCAAUGUCUUAAAAAAAAUAAAGAAUGCUUCAUUAGAUAAAAACGAACCUGAGAUCGAGGAUACUUCGAUUAGUGGUUGUUCAAGCGUGUUCAGACUUUGGUGGCCGAGGGGGCACAACAAAUCAAUAAAUU